GUGUCUAUAUUUAGGCGACAGGUCUCACCGGAUUCCAUAACCCACAGAACCUAACGCCUUGCCACAAUUUCCCCUUGUUUUCAUCUCUCUCUUUGAUCGCUUCACCCAAAUAUCAACUUGUAAAUUCUGCCAAUCCCUACUCCAUAGCCGAUAUUAUUAUGAAACUAUACAGUUCUGUAUACGAGAGCUUCCGUAUUUUGGCGUAUAUUAUGUAUAAUAUAUGAGAGAUGUAUUUCGGACUUUUGCGGGUGAUGGAUAUAUGUAUGUGUUAGGGAUCUAUUGGCUGUAAUGUCAUUUAUGGAAAACCUUGUUUUCUCCUUCCUGUUAUUAAUUGAGAUGCGGAUAAUACUAUAUAUAUGUAGCAAACAUCAGUUUCUAGUUGUAAGUACGAGGAUAUCUUUAAAUGCACAAAGAUAUGUGAAAUAAUAUUUGCACCAACUUUAGAAUUGGGUAUAAAAUGGAGUUCUGCAAUUUCUGAUGCAAACCUUUUUGUAUGUUUCUAAUAAACAUUUGCUAUCCAUCUGAUGUUGCUGUUAACUUGACUCUUGAUAUUAGUAAGGUCGGCAUGAGAUUUUUCUGUAUGGCAAUUUCUUUUCAAAGUACGACACUUUUAAGCUAAAAUUGUGAUUACUAUGGCAUAUUGGAUAAUCAAUUUUUGAAUAAUAGUUGAAGCGUUGCAGGGAAUUUAUGCAUCUUUCAUGUGCAUGUUAUUUUAUGCAUUCUGUCACAAGUUGCUCAUUUGGUCUAUAUAGAUUUAUGACUUUCAUUCAAGAAUCCGUUCUAUCAUUGAAUGCCUUUGCUACCUUAUUUUUAAGAAAUGGAUUUUGUUGGUUGUCCCAAACUGUACAAACGAGUGGUUUGUCAAGCUUCCUGAAUUAUUAUUUUAAUCACUUUUUUGUUUAUGCAUUCCCUUUUUUGUCUUGUGUCAGGCACCUAUAUGGAUGUAAAUCAUCAUGCUUUUGAUAUUUAUUAGGUAAUAGCUCUUCCACAGUUGCGGUGUAAUGUUUCAGAACAAAAUUUGUAACUCUACAAUAAGAACUCUAUAGUGUUGGUUCAGUUUCCUUUUCCAGUAGCACUCUAUGUGGUUUUGAAGUUAGAUGUGCUAUGCUUUAAGGGGGUAUAUGAUUCCGAGACUGCUGCUCAUGUCUUGUCGCACAGGGCACAUCGUGCUUGUGAACAGAGGUAUGACUAGUGUUGGCAUUUCAUUAGAAUAAAUGUUCACAGCCUUAUUCUUGUUUGUUCACUGAUCAUAGUUCAGAUGACAAAUGCAAGAAUCAAAUUCCAUCCUCUUUCAUUGUCACAAGUAAUUCUUUGAGGAGGAAGAGUUUCGUGUUGAUCCGCGUAGUGCAUUGAAUCUUAGACUUUGUGAUGUAUUGGAUAUUUAUAAGAGUUUGGAAAUGGAAUAUAUCAAUAUAAACAAUGCACACAACUUUUAUUUAGUCAGACAUAGCUGAUAGUUGGACUGCACA